rnacentral:rRNA from 1 species
UGAAUACGAGAUGCUACGGCGUCGAAGCAGUGUAUGUCAGACUUCCAAGAAAAGCUCGCAAUGUCAUAAAUAAAGAAUGCCUGUACCAUAACCGACACAGGUGGGUAGGUAAAGUAUACUAAGGGGCGCGAGAUAACUCUCUCUAAGGAACUCGGCAAAAUAACUCCGUAACUUCGGGAGAAGGAGUGCCUUCUUUAAGAAGGUUGCAAUAACAAGAUCCAAGCAACUGUUUAUCAAAAACACAGGUCUCCGCUAAGUCGUAAGACGAUGUAUGGGGGCUGACGCCUGCCCAGUGCCAGAAGGUUAAAGAAGUUGGUUAGCUUUUGCGAAGCUGAUGACUGAAGCCCUGGUGAACGGCGGCCGUAACAAUAACGGUCCUAAGGUAGCGAAAUUCCUUGUCGGGUAAGUUCCGACCCGCACGAAAGGCGUAAUGAUUUGGAUACUGUCUCGGAGAGGGACUCGGUGAAAUAGACUUGUCUGUGAAGAUGCGGACUACCUGCACCAGGACAGAAAGACCCUAUGAAGCUUUACUGUAACUUGAAAUUGAAAUUGGACUUUAUUUGCGCAGUAUAGGUGGAAGGCGUUGAAAGUAAUCUUGCGGGAUUAGUGGAGCCAUCAGUGAGAUACCACUCCUAUAAUGUUAGAUUUCUAACUUUGGAUCAUGAUCUGGUCAAAGAACAGUUUCAGGCGGGCAGUUUGACUGGGGCGGUCGCCUCCCAAAUGGUAACGGAGGCGUACAAAGGUUUCCUCUGAACGGGUAGAAAUCGUAUCUAGAGUGUAAAGGCAUAAGGAAGCUUGACUGUGAGACCUACAGGUCGAGCAGGGACGAAAGUCGGUCUUAGUGAUCUGACGGUGCUGAGUGGAAAGGCCGUCACUCAACGGAUAAAAGUUACUCUAGGAUAACAGGCUGAUCUCCCCCAAGAGUUCACAUCGACGGGGAGGUUUGGCACCUCGAUGUCGGCUCAUCGCAUCCUGGGGCGGUAGUACGUCCCAAGGGUUGGGCUGUUCGCCCAUGAAAGCGGUACGCGAGCUGGGUUCAGAACGUCGUGAGACAGUUCGGUCCAUAUCCGGUGUAGGCGUUAGAAUAUUGAGAGGAGCCUUCUUUAGUACGAGAGGACCGAGAAGGACAUACCUCUGGUGUACCAGUUAUCGUGCCAACGGUAAACGCUGGGUAGCUAUGUAUGGAGAGGAUAACCGCUGAAAGCAUCUAAGUGGGAAGCCCACCUCAAGAUGAGUAUUCUC